AACGAACGCUGGCGGCAGGCCUAACACAUGCAAGUCGAACGCCCGUAGCAAUACGGGAGUGGCAGACGGGUGAGUGACGCGUGGGAACGUGCCCUUCGGUUCGGAAUAACUCAGGGAAACUUGAGCUAAUACCGGAUACGUCCGUAAGGAGAAAGAUUUAUCGCCGAAGGAUCGGCCCGCGUCGGAUUAGCUAGUUGGUGAGGUAACGGCCCACCAAGGCGACGAUCCGUAGCUGGUCUGAGAGGAUGAUCAGCCACACUGGGACUGAGACACGGCCCAGACUCUACGGGAGGCAGCAGUGGGGAAUAUUGGACAAUGGGCGGAAAGCCUGAUCCAGCCAUGCCGCGUGAGUGAAGAAGGCC
rnacentral:rRNA from 1 species